rnacentral:rRNA from 1 species
AACGAACGCUGGCGGCAUGCCUAACACAUGCAAGUCGAACGGGAUCCUAGCUUGCUAGGUGAGAGUGGCGGACGGGUGAGUAACACGUGGGAAUCUGCCUUUUGGUUCGGGAUAACCGCGGGAAACUGCGGCUAAUACCGAAUGCCCUCGAGAGAGGAAAGAUUUAUCGCCAGAAGAGGAGCCCGCGUCCGAUUAGGUAGUUGGUGGGGUAAAGGCCUACCAAGCCGACGAUCGGUAGCUGGUCUGAGAGGAUGAUCAGCCACACUGGGACUGAGAUACGGCCAGACUCCUACGGGAGGCAGCAGUGGGAACAUUGGACAAUGGGGGCAACCCUGAUCCAGCAAUGCCGCGUGAGUGAUGAAGGCCUUAGGGUUGUAAAGCUCUUUUGCCAGGGAAGAUGAUGACUGUACCUGGAGAAUAAGCCCGGCUAACUUCGUGCCAGCAGCCG